AGCUCAUGAAUUUCUUUAUUUUAAACUUAGUUUUAUAAGUUUAUGAUUUGUGAUUUGAAUUCUGCAUUUGGAUGUCUUUAAAUGGUUGUUUCAUGAAAUGGAGAGUCACUAGUGGUGUUUAUGAUAAUUGCAUAUUGGGCUCUGUUAUGGAUCAUAUAUGGUCAUCUAAAUUCUUUAUUUUUCCUUUUUGAUUAACUGUUUUUCUGCUUAGCAUCCAUUGGUGUCACGGCUUCCUUUCUGAUGAGUGUUGCAGAGAAAAACUUUGAUACUUUUGUAGAGUGUAAUGGAUGAUAGGCAGGCACUUAGAAAUUGCAUACGUGGCAUACAAGUAUCCAUUUUCAAAGGUCAGGAUUAUUCGACCAAUCUGAUUGUAGGAUGUGACUUAUUGACUGUCAGUUCCACAAUUUAGUUAGUUUAAUUUGACUUAAUAAUUAAUAUAUGCCAUAGACAAGGUGAUGGGGGUGUUGCCUUUUAAAGAAGCAUGUUUUCUGGUAAUGUUAGUUGCCUCUCCUAUUAAAUGAGAGUCUAAGAUGUUGGGAGGAUCCAUAAAAAAUUAUAUUUUUGGAAACUGAGUUCCUGACUUUUGUUUUAUGCCAGAAAUCUUGACAAUGUAGCCUAACUGGUGGAAAAAUCUGAUCAAGCACACAAUUGUGGCUGAGUAUGGACGGACAGGGACAACGCUCUCCACAUGUGUGGAAUUAGCAAACCUCCUAAAUGCAUAUUGUUGCAUUUAUAGUUCUGUAAAAUUUUCAAUUAAUUUUUAUAUAGAAAUCUACAUGCUAAUUGUUUGAAGAAAUGCUUUAAUUCCUUCCAUGAGAGGCGAUCUUCAAUUUUGUAGGCUAGAAUAGUGUAUUGAGCUGAUAUGUCUAUUCCAUCCAAGCAGGAGUUAUGCCUUGGUGAUCCAAACUGUUGAUGUUAUGUGAUGUAUUUCUUUGUUUCCUUUGAUUUUGGUUAUCUGAGGUUGGGCAUUGUUGUAUGAAAAGAAAAAAAAAAACCUUGACAAUGUUGGGAUCGGGAUCAUUAGAAACACCGAUUGUAGGGCUUUCUUCUUGUAGAGUUUGGGCUGGGUACUGUAUUUGAGUGCAAAUGAUAGGUGGGGCCCUUGCUUCUUGUGAGACCCUGCCUGAAUGUUUGUAUCUACCUCCUUUGUAAUAUAACUACUGAUUGAAUUAAAAAAAAAAACUAUUGAUUUCUCAUUUUUGUCUUUUCUUUUGUAUGAAUAGGAUACAGUGAACUUGGUUUGGUCUUUGUUGUUGUUUCAUUUAGCUUGUUUGGAAUCAAAGAUGAUGAGAUUAUGUUGUUGUUUUGAAGUUUUGAAAGUUCUGAAAUCUGAGGAAAUCAUUGUUGGUGUGGAGUGAACUGGAGUGUUUACUGACAAUGACAAGGCUGCUGCCCAUUUGAAGGAAAUGGUUUGUUUAUGUUUAAAGUGGCUAGGAGAUGUAUCGGUAUGAAUUUUCUUGGGCUGGAAAUAAAUAAGAAGCUUGUGAAACGAUGUCUAGAUUUUGUUCAACAACAAGGCUUGAAGAAUGUCACAGGCAAUGGCAGAUAAUCAAAAGACGCAAUGAAUAUGACCCUUUUUUUCUUCUUCAAAGUGUCUGUGUAUCAACUGGUGAUGGCAGCCCUAUUUCAGCAAAGAAAUGCCUAUCAUUUUUUAUUUUUUUAUUAUAACCAAAACACCAAAAACUAAUUCAACCCAUGUUAGAAAUAAACACCUGUGAGCAAAUCCAACACAAAUGCAACCAUUUUACCAUGUUUAUUCCAAACAAAACCUAAGAUAACCAACCAUUCUAAACUAAUUCAACCCCAAUUACUCGAAUGCAGCCAAUGUCUUUCAACCUUCCGACAACUUUGAAUGCAUUAGCAAAAUAUACAUCCACUUCCACCUCCAGCUGCCAAAUAGACCUAUAUAUGGAAGUGAAAUUCUACAUAAAUUCCUCAAUAUAUACUGAUCAUAGGAGGAACAUUUUAAAACAAAAGAAGAAAUGGUUCAGGUUUCUGUACAUAAUAAUCUAAACCCUAGUUGUUGGGCCUAUACAUACCUUUGUAAUAUUGAUUUAUAUCACUCAACUGGUUAGACCAAAACUCCUACCUUAAUAAGAUAAUAUAUUAUUAGGCAAAAAAUGAAAAGAAAAAAAGAGUUAUGGAGCUUAGACAUCAAAAAUAUAAAACUCACGUUCAUUUACAACUAGGCAUAUUGUUUGGAUGGUUUGAAUUUGAAUACAUGUAUGACACAAUAACACGGUUACCAUGCUUGAUAAAUGGAUUCCAUAGCGGGCCCUACACAUUGUGAAAUUGUUUGGAUUAAAUGGGGACUGUUUAGACUAGAUGGGCCCCUACAUGUUGCAUUGUUGGAAUUAUUUGGAUCAAAUUACACCGUUUAAAUAUCAUGAGGGACCUAUAAAAAUCA